GCGGGAGUAGCUCAACUGGAAGAGUUCCACCCUUCCAAGGUGGAUGUUGCGGGUUCGAAUCCCGUCUCCCGCUCCA
rnacentral:tRNA from 2 species